rfam:Daphnia magna strain Xinb3 contig25579, whole genome shotgun sequence.
CCAUCGGCCCUUUUCAGGGCCACCAUUUAAUUAAAGAAGAAAGUA